GAGUUGGGAGAGGGGCUUAGCUCUGGGUACGCGGAUCUUCCGGCUGGAGAUGAGGCAGCAGUGAGCUAAGGUAAUCAACAGAGCUGGCAGCCAGCUACACCUAUGAAGGGAAAUUCUUAUCACAGGAUGCCGGGUCAGCACACAGGCUAACUGCUGAGACUGAGAAUCGGGGAUCUAGGUCCAAAUCUAGGCUGUGCCCCCUUGCCCUCCAGGGCCUCCGGCAAGCUGCGUCUCUGACCUCGGUCCCUCACCUCUGAAAGGGGGUGGCAUGUGAGACCAGCACGUUGAUACAGCUGCCAGGAGUACUGAGAUAACACGUUUACGUGUUAAGUCCAGGAUGGCCUGGCUCGUGCUUUCCAAUACACGGCAGCUGCCAUUGCCAUGCAUGUCGGGGCUUCAGUCUUCACCGAAGGGGCGUUCUGGCUAGAAACAGCUCAUCAGCUUAGGCUGUCACAGCCAGCGGAGAGGGGUCCCGCAAUCCCUCCCACCCAGGGCAGACCCUGACUAGGACCGGAGGACGCCUCACUGGGCCACACCUUCCUCCCAGUGCAGAGUCGUGACAUCAGUAACCCUGGUUGACAACGGAGCCUAGGGUUCUGAUGUCACUUUUCUGCCCGGGCGGUGCGUUCCGCGCAGGCCGACAGGCAGGCUGGCCCCCGGCCCAGUGCAUAGGCUCCGCACCUCUGGCCCCUCGGGGGCUGCCGCAGGGCCUGGCACGCGCGCCCCCGGGGCCCCGCCACCGGCCCCUUUCAUCUCCGCCUCCCGGCUGUCCUGCCUCUGCGUCCCGCGCACCUGGGGGCGGGCGGGGACAGCAAAAAACCAUCGCAGGAAGCGCGCUCGACCUCGUCUGGCACCAGCGCCCCUCCCGGGCGGAAGCCGCGGCGCCUUGGACUGGCCGGGCCCCCACCCCCGCUCUUCCGUCCCGCCCCGGAAGCCGGAACGAGGACGCGACGCGCGGCGCGGACGCAGCGCCGUAGCCAAAAGGGCGGGGCCUGAGGCGGCCGGGGGGCGGGGCCUCUGCGCGGCCCGUUCCGGAAGCCCAAGCGAGAAUAAAACAACCAGACAGUGGAAAAUUUGUAAAACCUAGGCGAGUACAAAGUAAGAAAAGGAGAAGCCUUUCCGAGUCAUCAAGCAAAAUACUGGUCUGGAGUAUCUUUUUAUCUAACUAUACGGAUUUUUACGUAAUCAGGAUAACCUUGUAUACACGCUUGCGGCUACCUUUAAAAAUAACAUUUUUUUUUUUUUUCUAAUUGCAAGACCACACGUUUACUGCAUGGAAUUUGGAAAAUUGGAAAAAAUUACAAAGAAAAAAAGUAGCCUGAGAUUCCCUCACACGAGAUCACCAUUGUUAACAGUUGACGUUCUUUCUUUCCUUUUACACAAUUAUGCAUUUGUUCAGACAAAUAAUGGAUUAUGCUGUAAAUACUAC